ensembl:lncRNA
UUAUUAUUACUAUUAUUAUUAUUAUUAGUUACAAGGCUCAUCCGAAACAAAAUUAAAGAUCACAUCACUGGCUUCUGCGAGACUUUAGUGUCACAGAUUGAUCGAACUAUUUCGUGUCUCAUCUGCUGUGUGGAAAGACGUAGCAGACUGAUAUUUCGCGCUGGAGUUUAGUGGCAAGAUAUUCGCUCCAGGCUGCUUGGUUUACUGUAUAUAAGUAGCAAUCGUCAGGGUUGUAUUAUACCCUCUUGUGUCUAUAAUGAAGAGCAUCUGCAACAGGAAAAUAAUGGCUGUUUGGAUUACUGCUACUACGAUGUCUGCACAUAAUUGGUACAAGAAGUGGGUAGGCGCCAGCUGAGCGGCAAUUACGCUGAUUCUUCCCCAGAUUGUAGGCUGAAGUUGUGCGAGAAGUGUGUGUGUGUGUCUGCCUGUGUGUGCGUGCGCCCUCUCCUUUCCCCCUCUCUCUCUUUCUGUGUGUGUACAUCUGGAGCGCAGGGUUUGCUUAGUAUUGGGAGUGUUUGGUUAAAUGUUAAAAACUGCGGCUUCCUCCCUGGCGCCAGUCUGUCCGGAUCUCUGCCCUGUUUGCAUUUUCUAAACACGCCUCUCUUUCUCAAUCUUUUGCAGGUGUUUGGUCAAGACGUAAAAACACACACAGGACCUGGGGAGCAGGACUUCUCUCCCCCCCACCCCCUUCUCUCUCUCUCCCUUCCCUCACCUCCAACCUCUGUCCUCCAGGCCUGGAUUUUUUUUUCUCCUCUUCUGACGCUGAAAUCAAGAGACUUUUGCUUAUUAUGGGACAAUCUUUAUGUGAUGUGUUUUCUGUUUGGACACUUCAUUAUUAUUUAACUUAAGACUUUUUUAUUAUUAUUAUUUGUGGGUCCUUUCUGGAAAUGGAAGGCGCGUUAUAUUCCCGACAGCGGGAGGAAAAACGAGAUUGUCACAAGGAUUAUCCUCCACCCCACCACCACCACCGACUUAACCCCAUCCCUCUUCCUCCCUCUUCACCCCCCCUCCUGUCCUUCUCCUCCUUGUUGAAGUCUUCGCUUUUUUUGCGGAGGUGGGAACGUAAAUAGACAGCUUGGUUAGUUACUGUAAAAAGUUUAGUCUUGUCAGAAUUGUUGGCACAUGAAGGACUGGACGUUGUUUAAAAAAAAAAAAAAGUUAAAAUGAAAAGAAUGAAACCUUGUGAACUCUCAUCGGGAGUUUAUCUUGUAUAGUUGCAGGAAUUUCAAACUUCUGCAAAAGUGUAAUGUUGUACUUAAUUAUGCUGAAACUUUUUAUAAAAGUAAUGUAAAUUGUACCUUUUUAUACAAAAUAAAUCAAAAACGCCAUUUGGAUAUGUGUCAUUUGGGGGAAGAACCACUUCGGGUUGGGGGUAAAUGUGGUGGGCUUUUGUUUGUUUGUUCAGGAGAUAUUAAACCAGUGCGUAAAAUGAUCUAGUCAGAUACAGAACAAGCUGAGGUUAUCUGUGUUGGCUUUAGGUUGGAUGUAAAGAAAACAUCUGAGAUGCAUGAAAAACUAAUCGUACAGAGUGUCCUUAUCAGACCUGCAGUAUGUGACCUAUAAUAGUCUUAAAACACAGCGUCAACACUUCUCCAAGGCAAACACGACCUGGAGGCACGGUUGCGUAAAAGCUUACUGAGGACGCACUGACUGCACUCUUACUUUCUCACAUGCCGCUGAAAGUAAAAGGGAUUAACUGGUUUAGGUUGUGAGAGCCAGAAGCCGAGGAUCUAUUGUUUGGUUUUUUUUUUAAAUGGUAGACAAUUGUGGGAAAGAGGUGAAACUAUAGGUCUGUGAUGGGUUGGAUUCCGUAAGUCGAGCUAUUAACUUGCCUUUCCCCUUUUUGCAAAACAGAAGUACGAGUCAGAUCAAAACGUCCUAGAAGCAUCUGUAUUCAGACCAGAUUUUGACUAAUCAAACCCCACCGGUGUCCGCAGUUUGGACUUUAUCAGCUUGAUUCCUGUGAAAUUAAACUAUAAACCAAGUCAAACGAUGACGGGAGUUCAAAAUCAAAAAGCCACCCGUGGUCAUUUGGCAGUCCACUGUUCUUUAAAGCAGGCAUCAAAAGCGGACUGAGGUAGAAAGGGGGG